AUGAAGGUUGAGGGAGUGAAGCACAAUGUAGGUUCGACAAGACCAGAGCGACAGUUUGCAACAAUGGACGUUGAGGAAUAGAACAACAUUAUUGAAGGGAAAUUGAGGUUGAGGGGUAAACCACAAUGGAGGUUGGAGAAAGGUAGAGUAGGAAUGAAGGACAAUUAAGGUUGAGGAAGAAUAAAGUGUGAUUGAAGGGCAAUGCAGAUUAGGGAACAACACGACGCGAUUGAAGGCCAAUGGAGAUAAGGGAAGACCACAACGGUAGUGAAGGAUAAUGAAACUUGGGGAAGAGCACUGCGAGAGUGAAGGCCAACGUGUGGAACACCAAAGCGGGAGUGAAAGAGAAAAGGUUCAUCCAAAGUGAAUAUGAGGAGGGAAAUCCCAAAUUCUGACCUAGUUUCGUCGAUCAUACUGAAAAAUAUAUCUGCCGAUAAAUCCAACACAAUCAUUUAUCAAUAAAUUCAAUCUAUUAACGAAAAUUUUUGUUAAUAAACACAAUACAUAGUAUAUGAAGAAGGAAUAAAUACAAGUGAAUAUGAGGAAGGAAAUUCCAAAUUCUAACAUAAUUUUGUCUAUCUUACUAAAAGAUAUAUCUAUCAAUAAAUCCAACACAAUCAUCU
rnacentral:lncRNA from 1 species